UACAGCCUCCUCCUGUGUCAGGCACCCAUCUGCAAAGCACAUUAAGUUUUUCCAGCUGCAAGAAGAGGCAACACUGGUACUAAAGAGUUGAGGAGGAAGGAGAACACUGUUGAAUCAAGGGGAGAACAGCAGACUUUCUUCACCAAUGGGAGCAGCAUGGAAAGGACAACCAUGAAAGUUACAUCUUUAGCCAAUGGCUUACAGCAAAAGAAUGAAAGGGCUGGUCGUGUAAAGAGAAAACACUCUUCAAGUCCCAGUUCAAAUCCACACUUAUCCAUGACAUUCACAGUCAAUCUAACCUAAUGAUUAUGAUAAAAUGGGGUGGAUCACAGAAUCAUGCAUGCUGCUGUCCUGCAUGCUGUAGGAAAGAUGGAAAAGAAAUGGAAGAAAUAAAAUCCUAAAAUGUG